GGGCCCGCACAAGCGGUGGAGCAUGUGGUUUAAUUCGAUGAUACGCGAGGAACCUUACCAGGGCUUAAAUGUAACGGGACAGAUCUAGAGAUAGAUCCUUCUUCGGACUCAUUACAAGGUGCUGCAUGGUUGUCGUCAGCUCGUGCCGUGAGGUGUCAGGUUAAGUCCUAUAACGAGCGCAACCCCCCAUCGUUAGUUGCCAACGAGUAAUGUCGGGAACUCUAACGAAACUGCCGGUGCAAAACCGUGAGGAAAGGUGGGGGAUGAACGUCAAAAUCAUCACGGCCCCUUACGUCCUGGGCUACACACGUGGCUACAAUGGUCGGUACAGAGAAGCAGCCACUACGCGAGUAGGAGCAAAUCUUCAAAGCCCGAUCUC
rnacentral:rRNA from 1 species